CCUACGGGUGGCAGCAGUCGAGAAUCAUUCACAAUGGGGGAAACCCUGAUGGUGCGACGCCGCGUGGGGGAAUGAAGGUCUUCGGAUUGUAAACCCCUGUCAUGUGGGAGCAAAUUAAAAAGAUAGUACCACAAGAGGAAGAGCCGGCUAACUCUGUGCCAGCAGCCGCGGUAAUACAGAGGUCUCAAGCGUUGUUCGGCAUCACUGAGCGUAAAGCGUGCGUAGGCGGUUUCGUAAGUCGUGUGUGAAAGGCGCGGGCUCAACCCGCGGACGGCACUUGAUACUGCGAGACUCGAGUAAGAGAGGGGGAAGCGGAAUGCGCGGGGUAGCAGUGAAAUGCGUAGAUAUCGCGAGGAACACUCGUGGCGAAGGCGGGUUCCUGGACAUUCACUGACGCUGAGGCACGAAGGCCAGGGGAGCGAAAGGGAUUAGAUACCCCUGUAGUC
rnacentral:rRNA from 1 species